rnacentral:rRNA from 1 species
CAGUAGCCGCGGGAAUACGUAGGGUGCGAGCGUUAAUCGGAAUUACUGGGCGUAAAGCGUGCGCAGGCGGUUGUGUAAGACAGGUGUGAAAUCCCCGGGCUUAACCUGGGAACUGCGCUUGUGACUGCACAGCUAGAGUAUGGCAGAGGGGGGUGGAAUUCCACGUGUAGCAGUGAAAUGCGUAGAGAUGUGGAGGAACACCGACGGCGAAGGCAGCCCCCUGGGCCAAUACUGACGCUCAUGCACGAAAGCGUGGGGAGCAAACAGGAUUAGAUACCCCCGUAGUCCCUGUCUCUUAUAC